GAGGGUAGAGCUCAGUGGUAGAGUGCUUGCUUAGCAUGCACGAGGUCCUGGGUUCAAUCCCCAGUACCUCCC
rnacentral:tRNA from 1 species